UUGGACGCAAGGGCUUCACCCGUGA
rnacentral:piRNA from 1 species